rnacentral:tRNA from 3 species
GGGACGUUAGCUCAGUUGGUUUAGAGCACUACUUUGACAGAGUAGGGGUCACUGGUUCGAGUCCAGUACGUCCCACCA